UACGUAGGGGGCAAGCGUUGUCCGGAAUCAUUGGGCGUAAAGAGCGUGUAGGCGGCUCGAUAAGUCUGCUGUGAAAGUCCGGGGCUCAACCCUGGAAGGCCGGUGGAAACUGUCGGGCUAGAGUCCGGAAGAGGCGAGUGGAAUUCCCGGUGUAGCGGUGAAAUGCGCAGAUAUCGGGAGGAACACCAAUGGCGAAGGCGGCCUUCUGGACGGAUACUGACGCUGAGACGCGAAAGCGUGGGGAGCAAACAGG
rnacentral:rRNA from 1 species